rnacentral:lncRNA from 1 species
CACCGCCUCCGCCUCCGCCGCCGCCUCCGCCUCCUGCUGAAGCCCCCCCUGUUAAAAAGGCCAGUUCAAAGAAACUGUCUGCAAANGAAGGGACACCUUCUGAAUCCAGUCCACCCAAGUCAUCAGGAGAAGAGGAAGGAGAGUCUGGCUCCAAGAAACCUAGUUCAGGUGAAGAAGGCACAGAAGCGGGGACCGAAGCCGGGACCGAAGAGGAAUGAUGACUGGUUCUUUUGUGAAUACUGCUGUAUAUUAUCUAGAGCAUUUUAUAAAGUACAAUUGUUGUGUAUACAGAAUAUUAUUAAUAAACAUAUCCC